UUUGCAUUUUGAUAUUUAACAUAAAAGCUAAAGUGCAAUGCACUAAAUAAAAAAUAGGAAUUCCUCCUUUAAAUAUAUAACUCCAACAGCUCAUGUGCUACCAGAAUUCCUAGAGAUAAGUUCUAAAAUUCACUUAGUUAGGCCGUGCAAAAUUAGAUUGUGAAAAAUUUCACAUUGUAGAAAUUGUAUAAAUGAGAAACUUGCAAGAGGAAACAAUAGUAAUCUGUCCUCAAUUUACCUUUCUCUGUUGCAUUUGGUGGCUAGAGCUUUGUGAAACGUUUCCUUGCUUUGUGAUCCAGCUGCUUUGCUCAAGUGUGGUUGCAGCUAAAGCAGAAAAGUACUGUUUUUGGCUUCUGGUUUCACCUAUUAUCAGAAAAUACUGGAUGAAAUCAAUGACAAACGUGCAGCAAGAACUGAAGGGGGCUUCCUGCUUGGGAAGAAGAAUGUUGGAAAUUCUGUCGAGCUGUGACUGAAUCGAUGCAUUCUAUCAUACCCUUGCAAUAAGUGACUCUCUGCUUAAAUCUAAUAAAAUGCCUUUUUCUAAAACA
rnacentral:lncRNA from 1 species